CCCUGCUGUGGUGCCGGGUUACACUGAGAUCCCUGACUGCACGAGCUGAGGCAGCUGGACAUUUCCCUUGCCAGGGUGAUCUCCAUCCUCAACCAGCUCCACGCCCUCAGGCACCUGGAUCUCUCUGAUGACUGCUUUGCCUCUGGAAUGUCCACCACAGAGGAUGACUAAGAAAUGGAGGGGGAUGAGGCGGUUAGGCUGCUUCUGGAGGGAGUUUUGGGGUUCUCCCACUGCUGGUGUCUCUGGAUGUUUCUGGAAGGAAGAGGGUGACUGAAGGGGCGGCCAAGGCCUUCGAGGAGGGGAGGAGUGGGCUGGUGUUUUUGGGGCUGCUGGCUACUGUGACGUUCGGUCUGGGAAGGACGACUUAAAAGUAACCGGUGAGGCCAAUGAGGCAGAUAUGUGAGUUUCUGAGGAAGUACAAAGAGAGGACCUGAGCCCUAGGACCAUGCCCCAAGACUACCUGACAU